rnacentral:rRNA from 1 species
GAGGAAUAUUGGUCAAUGGGCGAGAGCCUGAACCAGCCAAGUCGCGUGAAGGAAGACUGCCUUAUGGGUUGUAAACUUCUUUUAUACAGGAAUAAAAAGGCUUACGUGUAGGCCAUUGCAAGUACUGUAUGAAUAAGCAUCGGCUAACUCCGUGCCAGCAGCCGCGGUAAUACGGAGGAUGCGAGCGUUAUCCGGAUUUAUUGGGUUUAAAGGGUGCGCAGGCGGGCUUUUAAGUCAGCGGUGAAAUCUGGACGCUUAACUCCAAACUGCGGUGGAAAUUGGAGUCUUGGGUAUGGAUGAAGUUGGCGGAAUUUGUUGUGUAGCGGUGGAAUGGCUAGAUAUAACGGGGAACUUCGAUUUCGUAAGCAGCUUAAUAAGCCAUAACUGACGCUCAUGCACCGAAGCGGGGGGAUCAAACA